rnacentral:rRNA from 1 species
CGAUCAGAAUCGUUUACCGCGAGUCCCCUCACUUUUCGGGCGACGAAUACAUUAGCAUGGGAUAAUGGAAUAGGACCCUGUCCUCCUUUUUUCAGUUGGUUAAUUCAUGAGAGAGGAACAGGGUAAUGAUUAAUAGGGAUAGUUGGGGGCAUUAAUAUUUAAUUGUCAGAGGUGAAAUUCUUGGAUUUAUGAAAGAUUAACUUCUGCGAAAGCAUCUGCCAAGGAUGUUUUCAUUAAUCAAGAACGAAAGUUAGGGGAUCGAAGACGAUCAGAUACCGUCGUAGUCUUAACCAUAAACGAUGCCGACCAGCGAUUAGGAGACGUUGAAUACAAAACACCUCUAUAUAUAAUUCAGUAUAUGGCUAGCAAUGGCUGUAUAUUGUUUGUGUAUAGUUACGGUGAAUGACUCCCCUAGCAGCUUGUGAGAAACA